AGGAAACAUCUUCGUGUUAAUGUCCUCCUCAGUCUGGCCUAGCUACCAUAUUACAUAUAUACUUGUCUUUUUCAAUAUCAACAGAAAUCAAAAUCACUACUGAAUUGUUUACUAACUAACAAAUCUAUUUACUGUUAAUUCCCAAAUUAUAAAUAUUUACACUGAAUUGAUGCAUACUAAUCCAUAGAAGCUGAAGAACAACCAAUUUCUAACAUGCUUAUAGUUAAUGUAUCUUCGCCAUGACAUUAUCUAUAGUUAUCGUAACACAGCAGGUGUUCUUUAACUUCUGACUUUUUGUAGCAUAGACAUAAUGUAUAAUACUGAGCUAACUUACAUUCCCUACGCUACAAUGUAUUCCCUCAGCUAUAUCCACAUGAUACAGACCUGUUCCUCGUAGACAUUAACAAACAUAAACAACACAGCAACAACAGGUGCCCCUAGAGCUGCCCUCUACUCCCAGCAACAGGUGCCCCUAGAGCUGCCCUCUACUCACAGCAACAAGAGGUGCCCCUAGAGCUGCCCUCUACUCCCAGCAACAACAGGUGCCCCUAGAGCUGCCCUCUACUCCCAGCAACAGGUGCCCCUAGAGCUGCCCUCUACUCACAGCAACAAGAGGUGCCCCUUGAGCUGCCCUCUACUCACAGCAACAAGAGGUGCCCCUAGAGCUGCCCUCUACUCCCAGCAACAACAGGUGCCCCUAGAGCUGCCCUCUACUCACAGCAACAACAGGUGCCCCUUGAGCUACCCUCUACUCACAACAACAGGUGCCCCUAGAGCUGCCCUCUACUCCCAGCAACAACAGGUGCCCCUAGAGCUGCCUUCUACUCACAGCAACAACAGG